CGCGGCUGAAGAUUCAGGACGACGACGACGGCGGCGGCGGCGGCGGCGGCGGUGUUUGGCGUGUCGAAAACCGAGGCGGCGGCAGCGGGAAACCUAUAUACUCGACGAGCUGUUGUAUUAUUCAGACGCAAAGAUUACAACUUGAGAUUACAACACAAGUAUGGAGAGGAGACAAAUCAUCAAAACAUUACAAGGACACAAUUGUUUUGUUUUAACAAUAAAGUACAUAAAAAAAACAAACAAACAGGUUGAAGUUCUUCCAUUUAAUUUGUCUACAGCAGACAUACAGGUAUAUAAAAAUGAAAAUAAAAAAUAUCACAUAUUUUUCAUUUUUACAUAACAAUAAUAUUUUAACUAAUAUAAUAAUAAUAACUUAUAUCUAAUGAAAAAAAUAUUUACAUUUGAGUAUUUUUUUUUUUAAAAAAUAGAUAAUUUUGUUUGAUCAACACUUGACUAGAAAAUAUGACUUUAAAUGAGUUUAAUAUUGAUUAUGAGUUAACCAAUUAAGACAAGAAGUAACAGUUAAAACAUAAAACAAAAUGAUAGAAACAAUAAUAUUAACAAAUAAAAUAAUAUAUUAUUUAAAGGCAAUAAUAUUAGCAGCCUAGAUUUUGUACUGAACAUUGUCAAUAUGCUCGGCACAGCCUUUUUGAUGAUUGGUAAGAUACAAGAUCUCAACAUUUAAUAAAAUAAAAUCUGUACAAAUAUAAUAGUACAAUUAAAAAAUAAUAAUAAAAUGGAAAUGAUUAAUAUUUAUAAAAUAUAAUGGACAGUAUGGAGAAUGAAAAUAAUAAAAUCAAUAAAAAAUAGGAAUGUGCUAGAUUGGUAACAAUACAUAAAAAUGUACAUACAAAGAACCUAAGACAAAAGA